AAAUUGAAGAGUUUGAUCAUGGCUCAGAUUGAACGCUGGCGGCAGGCCUAACACAUGCAAGUCGAGCGGUAGCACAGAGAGCUUGCUCUCGGGUGACGAGCGGCGGACGGGUGAGUAAUGUCUGGGAAACUGCCUGAUGGAGGGGGAUAACUACUGGAAACGGUAGCUAAUACCGCAUAACGUCGCAAGACCAAAGUGGGGGACCUUCGGGCCUCAUGCCAUCAGAUGUGCCCAGAUGGGAUUAGCUAGUAGGUGGGGUAAUGGCUCACCUAGGCGACGAUCCCUAGCUGGUCUGAGAGGAUGACCAGCCACACUGGAACUGAGACACGGUCCAGACUCCUACGGGAGGCAGCAGUGGGGAAUAUUGCACAAUGGGCGCAAGCCUGAUGCAGCCAUGCCGCGUGUAUGAAGAAGGCCUUCGGGUUGUAAAGUAC
rnacentral:rRNA from 1 species